GCCAGUGUGGCAUAAUGGUUCGAGUGUUGGACUACAACUCUGGAGACCAGGGUUCGAUUCCCCACUUGUC
rnacentral:tRNA from 1 species